rnacentral:rRNA from 1 species
CCUACGGGUGGCAGCAGUGAGGAAUAUUGGUCAAUGGACGAGAGUCUGAACCAGCCAAGUAGCGUGAAGGAUGACUGCCCUAUGGGUUGUAAACUUCUUUUAUAUGGGAAUAAAAUGUUCCACGUGUGGGAUUUUGUAUGUACCAUAUGAAUAAGGAUCGGCUAACUCCGUGCCAGCAGCCGCGGUAAUACGGAGGAUACGAGCGUUAUCCGGAUUUAUUGGGUUUAAAGGGAGCGUAGGUGGAUUGUUAAGUCAGUUGUGAAAGUUUGCGGCUCAACCGUAAAAUUGCAGUUGAAACUGGCAGUCUUGAGUACAGUAGAGGUGGGCGGAAUGCGUGGUGUAGCGGUGAAAUGCGUAGAUAUCACGAAGAACUCCGAUUGCGAAGGCAGUUCACUGGACUGCAACUGACACUGAGGCUCGAAAGUGUGGGUAUCAAACAGGAUUAGAUACCCGUGUAGUC